rnacentral:tRNA from 1 species
AGCGCAGGCGACCCAGCAAGAGACUCAUAAUCGCUUGGUCGUUGGUUCAAACCCAACAGGGGCCACCA